GAGGGUAUAGCUCAGUGGUAGAGCACAUGCUUAGCAUGCAUGAGGUCCUGGGUUCAAUCCCCUGUACCUCCU
rnacentral:tRNA from 1 species